UACAGAGGUCCCGAGCGUUGUUCGGAUUCACUGGGCGUAAAGGGUGCGUAGGUGGUGAGGUAAGUCGGAUGUGAAAGCUCGGAGCUCAACUCCGAAAUGGCAUUGGAAACUACCUUGCUCGAGGGUUGGAGGGGGGACUGGAAUGCUUGGUGUAGCAGUGAAAUGCGUAGAUAUCAAGCGGAACACCAGUGGCGAAGGCGAGUCCCUGGACAACUCCUGACACUGAGGCACGAAAGCUAGGGGAGCAAACAGG
rnacentral:rRNA from 1 species